UAGGGAAUAUUGCGCAAUGGGGGAAACCCUGACGCAGCAAUGCCACGUGAGUGAGGAAGGUCUUCGGAUUGUAAAGCUCUGUCCUAUGGGAAGAAUGAUCUAGCGGUUAAUACCCGUUAGAAGUGACGGUACCAUAGAAGAAAGCACCGGCUAACUCCGUGCCAGCAGCCGCGGUAAUACGGAGGGUGCAAGCGUUGUUCGGAUUUACUGGGCGUAAAGCGCGCGCAGGCGGGUUUACAAGUCAGAUGUGAAAUCUCAGGGCUUAACCCUGAAACUGCGUCUGAAACUGUAGACCUAGAAUAUCAUAGGGGGUAGGGGAAUUUCACGUGUAGGGGUAAAAUCCGUAGAGAUGUGAAGGAACACCGGUGGCGAAGGCGCCUGCCUGGAUGAUUAUUGACGCUGAGGCGCGAAAGCGUGGGGAGCAAACAGG
rnacentral:rRNA from 1 species